UGCACUUAUGUAUGUUUUUGUUUAAACUGUGGACAAAGACUUAUGGAUAAGUACAAAAAAUAAAUCCUCUUUUGCAACCCAGAACUCAUUGUUCAGUAUGAGUUUUAAUACAUAUAGCCAGGGAAAUU
rnacentral:snoRNA from 10 species